UUUGUUUCAAAUAACUGUAAUCACGAAUUUUCACUGGCCGUACGAACACGGUUUCAUCCAUAGAGAUCGGUUUUUAUAUAAAUUUUGAUGAGGUUUUGUC